GAUGAACGCUGGCGGCGUGCCUAAUACAUGCAAGUCGAGCGCACGGACGAGAAGCUUGCUUCUCUGAUGUUAGCGGCGGACGGGUGAGUAACACGUGGAUAACCUACCUAUAAGACUGGGAUAACUUCGGGAAACCGGAGCUAAUACCGGAUAAUAUUUUGAACCGCAUGGUUCAAAAGUGAAAGACGGUCUUGCUGUCACUUAUAGAUGGAUCCGCGCUGCAUUAGCUAGUUGGUAAGGCAACGGCUUACCAAGGCAACGAUGCAUAGCCGACCUGAGAGGGUGAUCGGCCACACUGGAACUGAGACACGGUCCAGACUCCUACGGGAGGCAGCAGUAGGGAAUCUUCCGCAAUGGGCGAAAGCCUGACGGAGCAACGCCGCGUGAGUGAUGAAGGUCUUCGGAUCGUAAAACUCUGUUAUUAGGGAAGAACAUAUGUGUAAGUAACUGUGCACAUCUUGACGGUACCUAAUCAGAAAGCCACGGCUAACUACGUG
rnacentral:rRNA from 1 species